rnacentral:rRNA from 1 species
GACGAACCGAGCGAACGUUGUUCGGAAUCACUGGGCUUAAAGGGCGCGUAGGCGGGCUGCCAAGUUUGGGGUGAAAUCCUCCGGCUCAACCGGAGCAGUGCCUCGAAUACUGGCGGUCUCGAGGGAGGUAGGGGCGUGCGGAACUGUGGGUGGAGCGGUGAAAUGCGUUGAUAUCCACAGGAACUCCGGUGGCGAAGGCGGCACGCUGGACCCUUUUCUGACGCUGAGGCG